CUCUUUUGUACAAUGGAAGAAUAAACAAUUCCCUGAGUAAGUGUGUGCUGCGAGUCCAUUACUUCACUUAAUUUCCUGGAGAAAAGAGGAAAGGAAAGCCCUCUGUGGUACAGCAGAUGAAGUUUGUCUGGAAGUCCCUGUCUCUGCAGAGUGGGACUGCAAUAUUUGAGAAGAAAAAAUUAAUCAUCAGGCCAUUAUGUUCAUCCUCCAUCAAGAAGAGAGAAAAUUUUUUCUUGAAACUCAAGGAAAAUUUUCUGCAAGGCUUGACUGCCCUUUCUCAUAAGAACAAACUGCAGUGAAGCAAUCCAAAGCCAACAAGAUUUAUGGCUGAAACAAUCUCCUGAUUUUAGACACCAGCUCUGUAAGCCAUCCAACCUUCCUCAGAAGCCACAAAGAAAGGGAAAGGGGGAACUGAGAUUUCAAAAGCUGUUACUCUUUGCUCUGUGAUUUCAAGACUUUAUUUCCUUUGAUGAAAUGAAGAAUUUCAGUCUUGUGAUUUCAGCGAGGAUUAAUUUGGCAAGGUUCCGCCAGAGGUCCUUGCAAGUUAAAACCACAGCAUUUGACAUAGCAUGG